rnacentral:misc_RNA from 1 species
AACCUUAUGGACCUGCGGGCGUAUACCUGCGGAAGGAUCAUUACAGAGUUAUCCAACUCCCAAACCCAUGUGAACUUAUCUCUUUGUUGCCUCGGCGCAAGCUACCCGGGACCCCGCGCCCCGGGCGGCCCGCCGGCGGACAAACCAAAACUCUUGUUAUCUUAGUUGAUUCUCUGAGCGUCUUAUUUAAUAAGUCAAAACUUUCAACAACGGAUCU